CAAUAGCGUAUAUUAAAGUUGUUGCAGUUAAAAAGCUCGUAGUUGGAUUUUUGCUUGCCGCCGAUGUCGGAACUUCCGUACGUUCGGCGGCGUGCAUCCUUGGGUGGAACCUGUGUGGCAUUAGGUUGUCGUGCAGGGGAUGCUCAUCGUUUACUGUGAAAAAAUUAGAGUGUUCAAAGCAGGCUUACGCCGUUGAAUAUAUUAGCAUGGAAUAAUAAGAUAGGACCUUGGUACUAUUUUGUUGGUUUGCGCACCGAGGUAAUGAUUAACAGGGACAGUUGGGGGUAUUCGUAUUCCAUUGUCAGAGGUGAAAUUCUUGGAUUUCUGGAAGACGAACUACUGCGAAAGCAUUUACCAAGGAUGUUUNCAUUA
rnacentral:rRNA from 1 species